UUUCCGUAGGUGAACCUGCGGAAGGAUCAUUAAAGAGAAUAUGCCCUUCGGGGUAGAACUCCCACCCUUUGUUUAUAUUACCUUUGUUGCUUUGGCAGGCCCGUCUUCGGACCACCGGCUUCGGCUGGUCAGUGCUUGCCAGAGGACCCAAGACUCUUAUUAUUAAUGUCGUCUGAGUACUAUAUAAUAGUUAAAACUUUCAACAACGGAUCUCUUGGUUCUG
rnacentral:misc_RNA from 1 species